rnacentral:rRNA from 1 species
CCUACGGGAGGCUGCAGUGGGGAAUAUUGGGCAAUGGAGGCAACUCUGACCCAGCAACGCCGCGUGAGGGAAGAAGGUUUUCGGAUUGUAAACCUCUGUCCUAGGGGACGAAGAAAGUGACGGUACCCUAGGAGGAAGCCCCGGCUAACUACGUGCCAGCAGCCGCGGUAAUACGUAGGGGGCAAGCGUUGUCCGGAAUUACUGGGCGUAAAGGGUGCGUAGGCGGUUUGGUAAGUUAGAUGUGAAAUCCCCGGGCUUAACUCGGGAGUUGCAUUUAAAACUGCUGAACUAGAGUGCAGGAGAGGAAAGCGGAAUUCCUAGUGUAGCGGUGAAAUGCGUAGAUAUUAGGAGGAACACCAGUGGCGAAGGCGGCUUUCUGGACUGUAACUGACGCUGAGGCACGAAAGCGUGGGGAGCGAACAGGAUUAGAUACCCCAGUAGUC